rnacentral:rRNA from 1 species
UGGGGAAUAUUGCACAAUGGGCGCAAGCCUGAUGCAGCCAUGCCGCGUGUAUGAAGAAGGCCUUCGGGUUGUAAAGUACUUUCAGCGAGGAGGAAGGCGGUAAGGUUAAUAACCUUAUCGAUUGACGUUACUCGCAGAAGAAGCACCGGCUAACUCCGUGCCAGCAGCCGCGGUAAUACGGAGGGUGCAAGCGUUAAUCGGAAUUACUGGGCGUAAAGCGCACGCAGGCGGUCUGUCAAGUCGGAUGUGAAAUCCCCGGGCUCAACCUGGGAACUGCAUUCGAAACUGGCAGGCUAGAGUCUUGUAGAGGGGGGUAGAAUUCCAGGUGUAGCGGUGAAAUGCGUAGAGAUCUGGAGGAAUACCGGUGGCGAAGGCGGCCCGCUGGACAAAGACUGACGCUCAGGUGCGAAAGCGUGGGGAGCAAACA